rnacentral:rRNA from 1 species
UUAGAGUUUGAUCCUGGCUCAGGAUGAACGCUAGCGGCGGGCCUAAUACAUGCAAGUCGAACGGGAUUGGUAGCAAUACCAUGAGAGUGGCGUACGGGUGCGUAACACGUAUACAAUCUGCCCACCACACGGGGAUAGCCUUGCGAAAGUGAGAUUAAUACCCGAUGGUACUACCGAGAGGCAUCUUUUGGUAGUUAAAGCUGAGGCGGUGGUGGAGGAGUAUGCGUCCCAUUAGCUAGUUGGUAGUGUAACGGACUACCAAGGCGACGAUGGGUAGGGGGUCUGAGAGGAUGAUCCCCCACACUGGUACUGAGAUACGGACCAGACUCCUACGGGAGGCAGCAGUAGGGAAUAUUGGGCAAUGGACGAAAGUCUGACCCAGCCACGCCGCGUGCAGGAAGAAGGUCUUCUGGAUUGUAAACUGCUUUUGUACGGGAAGAAAAAGCUCUUGCGAGAGUUCUUGACGGUACCGUACGAAUAAGCAUCGGCUAACUCCGUGCCAGCAGCCGCGGUAAUACGGAGGAUGCGAGCGUUGUCCGGAUUUACUGGGUUUAAAGGGUGCGUAGGCGGGUGAGUAAGUCAGAGUUGAAAGGCAGUCGCUCAACGAUUGUAAGGCUUUGAUACUGCUCACCUUGAGUGUAGAGGAGGCAGAUGGAAUGGGUGGAGUAGCGGUGAAAUGCAUAGAUACCAUCCAGAACACCGAUUGCGAGCAGUCUGCUACA